rnacentral:rRNA from 1 species
AUUGAACGCUGGCGGCAGGCCUAACACAUGCAAGUCGAGCGAGAGGCGGACGGGUGAGUAAUGUCUGGGAAAAUGCCUGUUGGAGGGGGAUAACUACUGGAAACGGUAGCUAAUACCGCGUACCAUCAGAUGUGCGCAGAUGGGGUUAGAUAGUAGGUGGGGGAACGUCUCACCUAGGCGACGAGCCCUAGCUGGUCUGAGAGGAUGACCAGCCACACUGGAACUGAGACACGGUCCAGACUCCUACGGGAGGCAGCAGUGGGGAAUAUUGCACAAUGGGCGCAAGCCUGAUGCAGCCAUGCCGCGUGUGUGAAGAAGGCCUUCGGGUUGUAAAGCACUUUCAGCGGGGAGGCGUUACCCGCAGAAGAAGCACCGGCUAACUCCGUGCCAGCAGCCGCGGUAAUUC